AGUAAUAAAUUCAGAAAAUACUUACGGCUUUGGGACUGAUUCUCUAUAAUUCGUGCAGCAAUAAGAAAACAAAAAUAAACUGCUGAUUCUUUGUUAUUUUAAGCUUUGAGGUUCUAUUUUGUAUUGGCUUUUUUAAAUGUGUUUAGCUAAUCAUGGAAAUGUCUCAAAAAAUAACAUUUACUCACGCUCACGUGAAAUUUAUAAAAGAACCAGACAGAGCAUGGUUUGUUCAUCUUGACAUGAUAAAAGAGUUUGAAAAAGAUUGUCCCAAAUAUGUCAAUGACUUUUUACAAGAUAAGUGGUAUCAUGUUAAGUGGUACGAUGGUAGUGUUUGCAAGCGUGUUAUCGUCAGAGCACAAAUUUCAUCUCUAAUAGGUAAGUAUUAGUAUUAUUUUUAUUAUUUUAGCUAGGCUUAUGAGACAAAAUUUGAUUAUUGACGUUUCUGAUUUGCAGCUAGUGGCCAAGAAGAGAUAGAAAAAAUUAUAAAGUCACGUAGUCGAUUUGCCCCGCUUACUCAAAUGGCAGAUUUUGAUAGUUCAUCCUUUAAUACUUCCACGGACGAUGAAGAGACAAUUGCCAGCGCAGCACCGAAGAAAAAUGAAAGCACUAUUUUGAAGGAAGCAAAAAGAAAGAAUGCAGAAAUAACCAUUCAUAAGAUGAAUUCUAAUACGUUGUUGCAAACGAGAGAAGAGCUGACUUUUACCGCACUCGACAACAAUAAUAAAAAUUCGGAGAAGAAAACAAAAAAAGCGAUGUGAAAACGUCGAUGCCGAAAAAAGAAAGACAACCUUUGGCAGACAUAAGCAAUCAACCAAAAGCUAAAUCGCUAACCAAAUUUUCUUUGAUAACACCCAUGUAUCCGUCGUUAGAACCUUUGCGACAACUAACACCGUUCUCAUCGCCACUUCGCACAAGCAUGCAGGUCGGUCCCAAAGGUCGAGCUGCAACAUGCGAUUUCGAUGGCGAAGGUAAUGUGGGAUCGCAAUUAAGCUUGCAAUCGUCGCCUCGUCGAAGUCCAUCGAAAGCACACCCGCCAUUGGUGCUUCACUGCCGAUCGAAAUCGCAUUCCUCAUCGGUACCUCAAUGGAGCCAUUUGCCAUCAACGCCUCGUCUGAGCCCAUCGCCAAACCAAAGUCUCUCUCUAUCACAUUCUAGGAGUUCGCGGUCACGGUCACGCUUUAACAGUUCACGCUCAACAUGAUCCGACUCCUCCGUGCUCUCAACCUGCACCGUCUCUUACGCGCCCUCAACAUGUACCGUCUCCUACGCGCCCUCAACAUGUACGGUCUCCUACGCGCUCUCAACAUGCACCGUCGCGUUCGCGCUCUCAGCGUUCACGGUCCCGCGCACAUUCGCGUUUUAGGCGUUCGCGAUCACAUUCGCGCUCUAGGCGUUCGCGGUCUCGGUCACGCGCACGCUCUCGACGUUCGCGGUCAUGGUCACGCGCACGCUUGCGGCUUUCGUGGCGUUUGCGGUCAUGUUCGCGCUCUCAGCGUAGAUACAGAUCGCGAACUCCACCGUGGAAGAGAUUCGACUUCAGAAGAAAAGUUUUGAGCUCAUCGGAUAGACAAAAUGAAGAUGCAGCGACCUACUGGAUUAUUCUCAAAUUUUGGAAACCGAGAUUGUAUAAGAUGUACGCAAAGCGAAACCUUUUGAAUACUCCAGAAGAAGCAGAAGCACAUCGGCGUUAUAAAAUAUUUGAUGAAGGAAAGCGCAUUUAUUUGGGACAGGGUAUUACUUCACGAGUAGAUGCUUGGAGAACGCUGCGAACUACAAAACCAUUAAGCACUUUUGCUGCGGGGGCAGCUCAGCUGAUAUGGAAAAAAGAGUUGCCGUAUUUUUGUUUGGACCUCAAAAAAGUAAAGAAAAUUGUUUCCGGAGAGAAGUCGAUUCAGCUUUUCUGUCCAAAUAAGUUAGAAUUAUUUUUUGGUCUGUGCGCAGAUUAUAUACAUAAUACAAGAUCGUAUAAAAAUUAUCCCAUUGAUAAAAGGCAGUAUUUGAUGAAUGCAUGUACGACAGCUUUGACUUAAAAAGUUAAAUAUGAAGGAAGUUUUGAAAUAGAGGUUCAGAGUAGGCGUACUUAAAGCCUUGUUCAAAACUAGUUUGGCGAUGAUCAUUGAGAUAAUCCAAGAUUACAGAAUAAUAUAUGUUGUUAAUAACAAUGAGUUUAUAAUAAAUAUAAUUAAUAUAUAAAUAAAUCGAUAUAAGUUCGUUAAGAGUAUUGUGUAUUUUCACGUAAAAAUGUUUGUGAUAAUAUUUCAAUUGAUUAAUAAAUGAAACCUAUAUAUUUAAAUAUAAAUUUGUUGUAAUUGAUUCUUAAUUGAUCGGCCGCAUAUUAAAAUGAGACCCAAUUAAGUUUAAUCCAAUACUGCUACUCACAAUCAGUAUUAAUAGUUAUAACUUAUACUACACCGUAAUACAAUUAAUUUUUUAUACUUAUACUCUGCAAUUAACGUUCUUUUAUCCGAUUAUACGUUCACAUAGUUUUAUGAUUUUCUACCAUGAUUAAUUGAUUAAAACCAAUUUUGCAUAUGAAAAACUCCUGAUCUUCGUCAGAUGUAAAUUUAACCUGUAGUUACAGCUGUAAUCACAGGUGUAUAUUUUCGAUAGGGAGAUUACAUGAUGCUGGGGAUAAUCAUGAUAAGAAACAUGAAAGAGAUAUGAUAUACAUAUGUUCAUCACAAUAUAUUUCAGUAAAUAAGUUGACAUUUCUGAUCUUUAUAAGAUAUAUACACCUAGUGCUUUUAUUCGUAGACGAAGUCUCGUCUUCCUGAGAGUCAUCCUGACACCUGGGCAUCGUAUACGAGAUAUGACAGAUAUUUGACGAUAAUUUUAAUUGAGAUCUUGUACUCUUAUUUGUAGAUGAUGUUCCGUCGUCCUGGGAGUCGUCCUGGCACCUGGACAUCGUCUAUGAAAUAUGACAGAUAUUUGACGGUAAUUUCGAUCGAUAUCUGAUGUACUCGUUUGUAGUUCACAUCCCGUCAUCGUGAGAGUCUUUUUAGACCCAAAGUAUAUAUUUCAUUUCAAACUAUAAUAAUUAGUGAUAAAUUUUGGAUUGUAGUAUAAAUAAAACUAGCUCUCUGGCUAUAACAGGGUUGAGACUAUUGUAUUUAUUAGAUAUAGAUGUUCUGAUAAAAACACCCUCAUUUAAAUUUUUUUAUUAUACUAAAUAAUUGAUUCAUUAUUCCAUGUGCUAUAUUUUAAAUAAACAAUUGACAUAAAAAAACGGUAUUUUUACUGGUAAAUUAUCUAUUUUGUUCACUAAAUUUUAAUGUGAAACACGUUUUAAUUUAAUGAAAUAUUGAAAAUUAUUAUAUUGUCCAAUAAAAUAUGUUAAUGAAAUGUUUAAGUAUGUUAAUAUAUAUUAAACAAUAUGAAUAUGUUUUUAUAUGCUAUUCAUUAUCACUACAUAUUUAAAUCAAAUAAAUAUAAUAAUGGAUUUGUCGACCUGUGUAAAUAUUUUUUACUAUGAAUAACAUAAUUUAUAAUUGGAAAUAAUAUAAAAAAUAGUUAAAAUCUCACACUUGAAUAAUAAUGAUAAAAUUUAUGAUCAUAAUAACACAUCCAGUAUCAUAACUAAUAUAUGUAAUACAUUUUUUGAUAUCUUCAUCAAGCAGUUAUUAUUAUUGUUAUUUAUAAAAAUGACAAUAGCAAUAAUUCACCAAAAAAAAAAAAA